CUUUAUUUAUGCAGCCCUAGUCACGCCUCCCUGCAUGGCACCUACACAGUCUCCCUACACAUUUCCCGGAAAGAGAGAUCUAAUAUUUAAACAUCCUUUAUUGCGCAGGGGCCACUUGUGUGCGAUUAAAGUUCAAUUAAAAAAAGCAAAAGAUAAAAACGUCUAAAGUAAACACCUGAUUGAAAAUAAAACCAACUUUUGUUGUAGGCUGUGUAGGAGCCAGGAUAGAUGUGGCUAGGGCUGCAUAAUUUACCUCCUAAAUGGCAGAUAUUUGAGCAGUGUGAUUGC